GGGAGUGUAGCUCAGUAGUUAGAGUCAAGCUCUAUCGAAACUGAGGUUGCGAGUUAAAAUCUCGUCGCUCCCG
rnacentral:tRNA from 1 species